rnacentral:rRNA from 1 species
AGAAUCAACGCUGGCGGCGUGCCUAACACAUGCAAGUCGAACGAGAAAGUGGAGCAAUCCAUGAGUAAAGUGGCGACCGGGUGAGUAACACGUGACUAACCUACCUUCGAGUGGGGGAUAACCUCGGGAAACCGAGGCUAAUACCGCAUAACAUCGCAAGAUCAAAGCAGCAAUGCGCUGGAAGAGGGGGUCGCGGCUGAUUAGCUAGUUGCGGGGUAAUGGCCCACCAAGGCGAAGAUCGGUA